rnacentral:rRNA from 1 species
UACGGAGGGUGCAAGCGUUAAUCGGAAUUACUGGGCGUAAAGCGUGCGUAGGCGGUUCGUUAAGUCUGCUGUGAAAGCCCCGGGCUCAACCUGGGAAUGGCAGUGGAUACUGGCGAGCUAGAGUGUGAUAGAGGAUGGUGGAAUUCCCGGUGUAGCGGUGAAAUGCGUAGAGAUCGGGAGGAACGUCAGUGGCGAAGGCGGCCAUCCGGAUCAACACUGACGCUGAGGCACGAAAGCGUGGGGAGCAAACAGG